UAGUCACUCACAGAACCCUCACAUGCACUUCAUUCAGGACUCAGCUCAGAUGGUGUCUCCUCAGAAAGGCUUCUUCUGGUUAUUUUAUUGUAGUAACUCUGCACCUGAUUUUAUAGAUUUUCUUGUUUCUCAAAUUAUUGUCCCACACUGGACCCGAGUUCCACGAGGCAGAGACCUAGUCAAUCUUUUCAUCGCUGUAUUCCAUCUUCCUACAAAAGCCACAGUAGGUCUCCAUUAAAUCUUGAAUUAAUAUAUGAAUACAUGAAUUUAAUCUAUAAUAUAUCUGGAAUUUUUAAGCAUGUAUAUAGACUUUAUCACUCAUGAUCAUUCUAUAAACACUAGGAGCUCUUUGUGAACUUUCUAUUAUGUUCCAUGGAUUGAUCCAAUACCACUCAUCCAAUGGUUUAUUCCUGGUUUGACUGUAUCUCAAUUGUGGAAGGAUUUGCCACGUUUGUGAAGAUCAUAAUGAAUUUCCACAGCUAGAACAUCACUGGUAUUCAUCUGUUUAGAUUGUUUUUAUGACUUAAACAUUUUUGUUUUAUUUUUAAAGGUCUGUGCCUUUAUGUACUAAUUUUCCAAUAUUUCUCAAUUCCUAAGCAACAUGUUAUUCUUUUUUGUAUCCUUUCUGUGAGAUGGUACAGGAUGCCUCUAGUUUUGGCACAGAGGCCUUGAUUGUAUCUGUGAGUCACCUACGAAAUAGAAUCUCUUAGUUCAUUGUACUGAGCCUCCUUUAUUAUUAUUUGCUAACCAAUCCUCAUGUGUCUGACUUACCUCCAAGACUUCCCCAGGAAGGUAGGUCUUCCUGACAUCGGUUCAUUGGUCACAACUGCUUUCUCCUGACCUUUUCUAUUCUAUCUGCCUAGGAGCUCUUCCUUUCUUAGUUUCCUGGUUAAUAUCCUUUAGAUCUCUGUGCAAUCAUCAUUUCUUCAGGGAAGCUUUCCUUGUCUUCUCUGAGAAAGCUAGCUCCUAUUAUUAAACAUGCUCUCAGCUCGAUGUACUCUCUUUCUUCGCGUUUCUCAGAGUUGCACACGUGUGCAUUUUCUGAGAUUUGAUGACGUCACCACCUGAAUUUAAGUUCACUAAAGGUAAGGACUGUGUCUGGAUUUUACUCUGUAUUUUAUCUGCAGCACCAAGCAUAAUGAACUGACUCAUCACAAGCAUUCAAUAGGUAUUCAUUGAUUAAAAAACUUGGUACUAAACAUUAGAUAAACCACAUUAAAAUAUAUCAUGCAACCGUGCCUGGGAAAAUGUCUAUUUUGUAGAUUGAUAUCACCCUCCUCUUUGACAUUCUUAAAGCUAUUCUGUCCUUUCAAUAAAUCUAUGAAUAACGAUUCAGGUGAAUGAGAACUACAUAGAAUUUUGGAACACAGGCAGCCACAAAACCAUUCAACAUAAUGUAAACUCUUAUCUGAUGCCUCUAAUAGGAAACCAAUGCUGCGCAAAAACAAAGCGCUGACUAGCUUUCAAGAGUGGCAAAUUCAGCAAUACUUUCUGGUGCUCUAGGAAAUUAUUAGCAAUAAGCAUUCUUUGGCCUGGCUUGACCCACAAAGCAUUAAGUUCAUCGUUCAUUUUUAUUGUUUCCUACUUGGAAUGCUGUAAUACUUUAACAAAUUAUCUGAUCAUCUGGUACAUAGAGAUCAGUUCACUUAAAAUCCUGCUAAUUACUUGUCAUCCAUUUAGAGACUAUUGACUAUUGUACACUAAUUUUAAAGAAAUGACAAUGUUCUCUAGAUGCCCAUGGUAUUAAUGUUUACCAUAUUGCUUACCGAGACAAUUCUUUAUUUAAUUAAUCAUCUUUAGCUAGCAAAACCUCUGAGUGGCAGCCAUAUCUGCCAGUCUUGUCCAAUCUGUUUGUGUUGUUCAUCUGCAUUUCCACUCCUAAGAACAGAGUUCUUGAUGAUAUUUUUGGAAAGCUACCUCAUGGAAAUUGGCUUUGAAGAAAUGCUGAGGUUUAUUUCUCUAAACUCUAUGUUUUAAUAAUGUCACAUUGGAAAGGAGCUUUACUAUCAUGGAACAUUUUAGGAAGUAUGUUUAAAAUAGUUGAGGUUGGUGCCUGUCAGAUGAGUGUCUAUUGGCAUUGCCACAGCAAACAUCUAUCUUAUACAAUGGAGGAAGUUUCUGGGUUUUUGUGUACCUUUCUGUUUCAAAAUUUUUAACAAUUUUAUUUCUGAUUAACUACAAAUGUGUGGUCAUUAGUGACAAUAUGAACUCUGAGCUUCCUACAAAUUUAUUUUCCCAAAGAAAACAGAGCGCUUAAAACACCAAGUAUUUUGAAUAUAAAUAAUUAUAAAAGUUUACAUGAGAGAUCAAGACUAAAAAGGAAUGAAUCAUUUCCGCCAGAAUUCAAUUUAAAACUCUGUCUCUAUAACAAAAACAAAGAUUAAAAAGAUCUUAACUUCAAGAACAGAAAAGGCAAUAUUUAACAUAUAUUAAAUGUAGUCAGUGGGAAUUCUGCUAGACAUUUUAUUAAAACUUAUUCAUAAUAAUCUCGAUUAUUACGCACACAAAUUGGUUGGAAUGUAAAAAUAAACGUUGAUUCUUAGUUGAAAAAGUUCUUGUUUUGAAAAGCAUCUUAAAGAAUAUUAUGAUCCUUCCGAAUCCAAUAAUGUAAAGCCUUACAGUCUACCUCUAUUCGCAAUCUUAUCCCAAGAAUUCCGCCACAUUCUGAAAAAUACUUCAUCUCAUGUAUCUUGAAUACUUGUAGCUAAUUUAGUCAAAAGAAUAUGAUUUCAUAUUCAUUGAUUAAUAGUUGUGAAUGACAGUACAUUAAUUUUAAUUUAGAACCAGAAUGUACUAAUUAAUAGCAUGCAUACGCUACUCUCAAGUACAUGUAAUUGACACUUAGAAUAUUCACAUGAUCUUUGAGCACAUUAGAAUGCACAUGCAACGUAAGAACCAUGGAUGCAUUUUAUGAGCUUUGGAAAUAGAGUUUGCUAUGUUUUAAGUUAUGUCACCCAAAAAGAUUCAUUGAAAUCCAAAGCCUCAUUCUGUGAAUGUGAACUUACUUGGAAGUAUGGUCUUUUCAAAUAUAGUCUGGUCAAAAUGAGGUCACAUUUGUUUAGGGUGGACCCUAAUCCAAUAUGACUGGUGUCCUUCUAGGAAGAGAAGAGAUACGGGGGAAAACACCCAUGUGAUAACAGAGGUAGAGAUUGAAGAGCUGCAGCUGGCAAGCUAAGGAAAGUCAAGGAUUGCUGGGAAGCUACCAGAACUUGGAAGAGGCAAGGGAAAAUUCAUUCUCCCCUACAGACUGCAGAGGGAGCACAUGCUUGCCUACAGCUUGAUUUCACACUUCUAAUCUCCAGAUUUGUGAGACAAUAAAUUGCUGUCCAUUGUUCAUGAUACUUUGUUACAGCAGCCCUAGGAAAGUAGUAUGUGGUGAAAAGGUAGAGAUGUUGGUGCCUGUCAAUCAUUUGCCAUAUCAGACCUGGGACAAUUUGAUUUUAUGGUAUUAUUCUUCUACCUCAAAGAACUGCAUGGCUGAUAUUAAUAUAUUUUAAAUUAUAGUGAAGUAAGAGUAGUCCUGUUUUUAAAAAUUUGUUGACACUUCUUGAGACAUUUUUGGGCAUCCUUCCUCUAAAUCGAGACCACUAAACGUUUCCAUUCCUGAAUUCACCAAGAUGUCACAUUUUUUAACGUGCUGCAUUCUCAUCAGUUCUGGAAAAUUCUCACCAUUCUUUUAAUAUGGGUUAUCUUCUUACAGGCAUUCUCCGUUGUAACAAUAAUGUUGCAUAACAAACAUCGACAAAACUUGUGUUUUGAUUAGCGAUGAACGUUAAUUUAAAUGAUGGGCUAUGGGAUUCAUCUGAUCUGGGUUAAGGUUGAUUGAUUUGGUCAGGCUGCCCAUGCUUUUGUGAUCAGCUGUGGAUUAUCUAGGCAUCUUUGUUUAUCUUGGCUAGGUUUACUCCCAUGCUUGGGAUCCGCACUUUGCCACCUGAUCUAGGUUGUCUUCAGUUGGGAUGGCUGGUAACUUGGCUCCGUGUCGUAUGGUUCAUCUUCCAGGAUGCCGGUCAUGCAUGUUCUCUUGGCAUUCACAGAGCUCAGGAGAUAAGCAGGAAGUGUAAGGACUUCUCAAGUCUUUGCUCAUGUUAUAUCUGCUAACAACCCAUUGGCUAAAUCAAACUAUAUGGCUUACCUCGGAAUUGAAAGAGUUCUGGAUAACUGAACAAUGAACUUAACUGAACAAGGAGUCCAUGAAUUCCUCAUCCACCAUGAUAUGUUCUCCUUAAAUGACCCACUUAAAGAAUUUCUUCACUCCUGUGUGCACUCUCGUCCCUUGUCUGGUAUGGAGAGUGUCAUUGUUGACAGGGUGUCACAGCAGCACCAACAUUUUGCUGACCAGCCAGAUGGGUUUUGACAGUUUCACUGAAAAAGGACACAGUGUGAUCAAGAUACCAAUAUUAAGAGUGAAUAAGCUCAACUAAGACCUAUAAUAAAUGAUUCUGGAGCCAUA